rnacentral:rRNA from 1 species
GCAAGGAAUUUUCGGCAAUGGGGGCAACCCUGACCGAGCAACGCCGCGUGGAGGACGACGGCCUUCGGGUUGUAAACUCCUUUUCGGGGGGAAGACAUCGACGGUACCCCCGGAAUCAGGCUCGGCUAACUCUGUGCCAGCAGCCGCGGUAAGACAGAGGAGCCAAGCGUUGUCCGGAUUGACUGGGCGUAAAGCGCACGCAGGUGGUGGGGCAAGUGCCGUGUGAAAGCCGGUGGCUUAACUGCCGGAGGCCACAGCAGACUGCCUGACUUGAGCCCGAGAGAGGUCCGUGGAAUUGCCGGUGUAGUGGUGAAAUGCGUAGAGAUCGGCAGGAACACCCAAGGAGAAAUCAGCGGACUGGCUCGGAGCUGACACUGAGGUGCGAAAGCGUGGGGAGCGAA